GCCUACGGGGGGCAGCAGUGAGGAAUAUUGGUCAAUGGUCGGGAGACUGAGCCAGCCAAGCCGCGCGAGGGAGGAAGGUACAGAGUAUCGUAAACCUCUUUUGUCAGGGAACAAAGGCGGGGACGUGUCCCCGGAUGAGUGUACCUGAAGAAAAAGCAUCGGCUAACUCCGUGCCAGCAGCCGCGGUAAUACGGAGGAUGCGAGCGUUAUCCGGAUUUAUUGGGUUUAAAGGGUGCGCAGGCGGUCUGUUAAGUCAGCGGUCAAAGCCCGGGGCUCAACCCCGGCCCGCCGUUGAAACUGGCAGU
rnacentral:rRNA from 1 species